rnacentral:tRNA from 1 species
AGCCUGGUAGUGUAGCGGACAAUCAUUUGAGGCUUUGGACCUCAAGACGGUGGUUCAAAUCCACCCCAGGCUA